rnacentral:tRNA from 1 species
GGGAUUGUAGUUAAAAAUAACGUCUAACCUGCAGUUAGGAGGUACUAUUAUAAGUCUAUCUCA